CUUAUCUCACCAGGGAGAAAAAAAAAUCCUCAGAGAGAUCCAAACGGGUCCUUAUAUACCUCAGGAGAACUUUCUUUCUCAGAGAGAAAAAGGGAAGGCAAGAGAUUGUAUUAGGAAAGAACAUCCAAGUAAGCAGAAAGGUAGAGAACCUAACUGCUGUUACAAUCCCAGCACCCCUUGCAGGGCGAAUCUCCGAGAAAAGUGCUAUCAUUAACUGGGAGACACAAACGAACACAUUUGUCACCUACACUGGACACAGUGCUACUCAAGCUUUCUUUUCACGCUUUGGACUUAGGGAAACGGAUGCAGUGGUGAAUCACUUCUAUCCCUCCUCAGACGAAUGUGACGAGAAACUUUUCGAUCAAUUUUCACAUUAAAGAUUGUGACUAUGGUGACCAAACUUGCUGCCUGGGCACAUGCAUAUCUCUGAACAGGAAAACGGGUGUGAGGAGUGUUGCAGGGGGCUGGGAAGGGAGGCUGAGCGCUUGUGGCCUCACCCUAAUAAAACUUAAGGGAAAGAGAACAGUAGAUGCGUCAGGGGCCAGGAAAAUGGUUUUGAAAGUUGUAAAGAUCUGCGGCCACAUCUUUCAAGUAAGCAAGUGAGCUGGGCAAAAGGGCAACCCAAAGCCAGCUGACAAGAAGCUACAGGCUCCAGUGGGAAAAGAACCAGCCCUGGAGUCCACAGCCCCACCUCCUGGUCCCUGGUCAUUUAGUAGGUCCAUGCCUAGCGGAGUAAUUUAACCAUCUCAUAACCAAAGUCAUUGGCUUAGAAAUUUCUUUGUGCGAGGAAGGAUAAGAUAGUUUUGCAGUGUUACUUAGAGCAUGGCUUAUUUUUCCGUAAGAAUAAGCCUGACAUGUCAAAGCAUAUCAAAUUGAACAUUUUAAGUGGGGGACAACCUACACCCCGCUGAGAUGAUAAGAGGGGAAGCUGGUAAGUCUAAUAUUUUUGCCAUAAGGAAAGGAGAUGGUUUACAUAAGUGAAUAUUCUAGAUGACUGAAGCUUCCACAUUUAGAGACAUAACUUUUGUUUAAAAUAUGUCUAAAAAUACAUUACCCACUUCACAAUUUUUCUAGCAUCCGUUUUUGCCGUGUAACAUAAUUCAGGGAUGAUUCCAGACUGUCAGGUUGUCUGACCCCCAAACUAAAUGACUCCAGUCUUUACCCCGAGUGACUCUACUUCCUCUGCUGUGUCCUCCCUGUUUGCGAGUUGCAAGUUCUUUGUGUUGCCUUCUAGCAAUAUUUAUCUCCUCGUCAACUCACAGAUCAGAGAAGCAAGCUUGGCCACUUAGUAAGUGCAAAAUGUAAGUAUAAUUCUAGUUCAACAGGCAGUAGUCAGAAAGUGUAACCUGGGUAAACCUAGGGGAGUAAAGUGCAUAGGCUUUGUGACAGCUCUAAUCUGAGGUUAUGUAUCCGACUGGAAAUUCUGUGCUAAUGGAAAGGAACCUUGUAAAAAGCAGAGCUCGGUGGAAUUGAUAAAUAAUUUAUUAUAGCUAGAUCAUCUUCCACUUAGGAUUAUAGGUUUAGAAGGGGAGAUCAUUAAAACUUUUAACUGAAAUGAGAUUUUGAGGUGACUGGUGAAUGAUGAUAGUUUUUUGGGUUACCCCUGAUAAGCCAAUUUGUGAUUCCUUCUUCAACAUUAAACAUUUUAUCCCAGCUGUUCAAAACUA